ensembl:lncRNA
AGGACGUAUUGGCAGGUGCCCAAGCAGGAUGAGAGGGCACGAGGGCUUCAGGACGGCUGCAGCCAAGAGUGCUGAGGUGACAGCGGACGUCUUCUCUAGUUUUAAAGUAGCAAAGAAGCUGAGCGCCGGUGGUCGCAGACAGGAAGUCGAUUAUUUGCAUUCACUGCAUUGUCGCAACGCUCGAUGCAUUUUAAUUGGACACAAAAACGAGGCUGUGAGUUGCAGACACAGUAGAAAUACAAAUGAUAAACAAGCACUGCGGUGUAGAAAUAUUUCAGAGGCUGUCUGUUUAAAUAAGAUAACAAGACAUUUUUCUGUAUAAAUCAAUAAGCUUGGCCUGCUAUCAAUUAUCUUUUUUUUUUUUUUUUUUGCUAAGAAUGCAGUUUAGCUGCAGUCAGAUGCCACCACGUAGGCUGCAUAAUGAGAAAUGGGACAAGCUCACUGAUUAAUUUAUAACAAAAGAGUCAACAAAGGAAGGAGUAUUGUAUAUCACCUGGUGCAGACAAGAUAAGUGCAGGGUCUAAAUUAUAUUUGUUCAGAUACAAACAUAGAUGGAUUACCUCCGUGCCCAAACAGUAAAUUAAAAUGCAGCACCUUCACCUCAGCAGGCGUCUCGUCCUGCUGCAAAAACUUUUUUUUCUUCUUUUAAUUUAUUUGCUUAUUUAUUUAUUUUUCAUUUAAGUGGGCAGCAGGAUGGAAUAAUAAAUCCUCCUCUUUGGUGACUGGUUAAGACUCAUUAAAAAUCGCUAUAAAGCAUCGCAGCCAACUGUGGCUCUGUACCAUGUGAAUUGCUUGCAAAGUAAAUAUUAUGCCUCGGCCAUACUUUCUUUCAGGGAUUUACAUUAAUAAGAUAGUGGGUGUGCAGUAAUCAGCUAAUGGCAAGCCUGGCCAUGCAGGGCUAAUAGCAGCGAGGUUGUGCUACAAUUAGCCAGUGAUUGCAGGCAACAGCUGAGACGCUGUGUUUCUUCUGGGGGGAAAAAAGCAGAAGUUUCCUUAACGAGAAAGCUUUUUUUUAAGGAUUGCUUUGUUUUAAAAUGUAAUGCUUUCCCCAAUUUGUAAGCAAAAUGCGGCACAAUCUGCAAUUACUAUAAUCCCCGACAGCUCAGUUUCUCAACAGCAACGACUCUAUUAAAUCCAGAAAC